UACGUAGGGUGCGAGCGUUGUCCGGAAUCAUUGGGCGUAAAGGGCGCGUAGGCGGCCUGAUAAGUAGGGGGGUGAAAUCCUGCGGCUUAACCGCAGGGCUGCCUUCUAAACUGUCAGGCUCGAGCACAGUAGAGGCAGGUGGAAUUCCCGGUGUAGCGGUGGAAUGCGUAGAGAUCGGGAAGAACAUCAGUGGCGAAGGCGGCCUGCUGGGCUGUUUAGCUGACACUGAGGCGCGACAGCGUGGGGGAGCAAACAGG
rnacentral:rRNA from 1 species